rnacentral:rRNA from 1 species
CUAGUACAAGAGGACCGGGAAGGACGCACCUCUGGUGUACCAGUAAUCGUGCCUACGGUAAACGCUGGGUAGCCAAGUGCGGAGAGGAUAACUGCUGAAAGCAUAUAAGUAGUAAUCCCACCCCAAGAUGAGUGCUCUCUCCUCCGACUUCCCUAGAGCCUCCGGUAUCACAGCCGAGACAGCGACGGGUUCUCCACCCAU